rnacentral:rRNA from 1 species
UGGGGAAUAUUGGACAAUGGGGGAAACCCUGAUCCAGCGACGCCGCGUGUGUGAAGAAGGCCUGCGGGUUGUAAAGCACUUUCGGUGGGAACGAAAUAUGCCGGGCUAAUACCCCGGUAGGCUGACGUUACUCAAUGAAGAAGCACCGGCUAACUCUGUGCCAGCAGCCGCGGUAAUACAGAGGGUGCGAGCGUUAAUCGGAAUUACUGGGCGUAAAGCGCACGUAGGUGGCGACGUAAGUCGGGUGUGAAAUCCCCGGGCUCAACCUGGGAACCGCAUUCGAGACUGUGUUGCUGGAGUACGGAAGAGGAGGGUGGAAUUCCCGGUGUAGUGGUGAAAUGCGUAGAUAUCGGGAGGAACACCAGAGGCGAAGGCGGCCUCCUGGGCCGUGCCUGACGCUGAGGAGCGAAAGCUAGGGGAGCGAACGGGAUUAGACACCCCGGUAGUCCUAGCUGUAAACGAUGUAGACUUGGUGUUGGUGGGGUAAAAGCCAUCGGUGCCGGAGCGAACGCGGUAAGUCUACCGCCUGGGGACUACGGCCGCAAGGUUA